AGGACGAACGCUGGCGGCGUGCUUAACACAUGCAAGUCGAGCGGAAAGGCCCUUCGGGGUACUCGAGCGGCGAACGGGUGAGUAACACGUGAGUAACCUGCCCUUAACUCUGGGAUAAGCCUUGGAAACGGGGUCUAAUACCGGAUAUUUACGAUUGAUCGCAUGGUUGGUUGUGGAAAGAUUUAUGGUUUUGGAUGGACUCGCGGCCUAUCAGCUUGUUGGUGAGGUAAUGGCUUACCAAGGCGACGACGGGUAGCCGGCCUGAGAGGGUGACCGGCCACACUGGGGACUGAGACACGGCCCAGACUCCUACGGGAGGCAGCAGUGGGGAAUAUUGGACAAUGGGGGGCAACCCUGAUCCAGCAAUGCCGCGUGUGUGAAGAAGGCCUUCGGGUUGUAAAGCACUUUUAUCGGGUAACGAACACGCAGGGCGAAUACCCUUGCGGACUGACGGUACCCGAGGAAUAAGCACCGGCUAACUCCGUGCCAGCAGCCGC
rnacentral:rRNA from 1 species